CGUCGCAGAUUACCCGGCAUGCCUGAGAAGUACCCGUAUGUGCGCUCAUAGCGCAUGCGCAACUCUAACCAUGCCCCCAAAAUGCUCGUUCACAUCAAGCACGUCAAUUUGCGUACACGUAACAGCACCGCGCGUUCAUGACAGCAUGGCACUGGAUUGUUAUGGAGUUUGAUAUUAACGAGGCGGUCGCGGCAGUUAGCAGCUAGCGGCUGGCUAGUAAUUAGCUCUUAGUAGCUCUGUACGUGUUUUAUUUUCCUUAUGACUGUUUCUGUGUUCAACAUACUGCUUGGAGUACGCUUAACGCGGCACAAGUCUGUACUGAACAUGGAUACGCAAAACUCUCAACAGCCUCUCAGAUGGAUUCCUGUUUCAUCUGUUGGUUUGCCACUGUCCAGUGUCUGCCAGCUGGCUCCCUCUCAGAAAAGUGCCAUCUUCUGUCAACAGGAAGAACUGUUGAACACUUGUCACUAUAUGAAGCUCAGCGCAAGUUCUUUCAGGAAGACUGGGUAUGUAU